GACCCGUAUUUUUAGGAGUGGUGGGGACACGGUGGUCACCCACCUCUUGCAUUAUUAGAAUGCAAUUAUUUGGAAGGGGGAAGAGGGAAGGAUCUCAUUUGGGCGUCAGGGGAGAUGCAUCUCACCCGUGAGCACCUCUUGGACAAGGUUGCUCCUGGACCGUGAAGGUGGCUUCUCCUUUUGAUGGACCAGCUACGUCUUUAAGGUGUUGGACCGUUUCCUCCAAGUGCUACUGGUGCUGUUGCCGCUGUCCAUCCAGCCAGGCAGUGACACCUCUUGCAUGCUGCUACUGCUGUCCGUGAAACCAAAUCAGCAUUUGAAAAAGGAAAUCAACCUGUGACAAGAAGUGCACCGUUCCAGCUCCAAAACAAUUCAUGCGUGUUCUUUGGAAUAAAGGAAGCAACGUCCUCUUCCUUCAGAUGUCCCAUGUGCACUUUCUUCAAUUAAUUUCUUGGACAUGAGGAAUAAAGUCGUGAGUGGUGUGUGUUUCUUCUAAACCAAUUCUGAAAUGAGUGAUAAAGUGGGCCAUAAUGCUUUCUCCCAACAAAUUAGUCACCUUAUAUUAUAUAACUGGUGGCUCCCAUCUUUAUUCUAGCAAUUUUGGUCAUGCAAAAGUGUAGGGCCGUGUGCUAUUUGCACUUCAACAAAUUCAACAUUUGCUUUUAGGAGUCCUCCACGUGAGCUUUCAACCAAUUGGUGGCCCCCUCAUUCCAUCAAGCACGGUUUGCAUACUCCAAAAAGAAUUUUCCUAUUUAAUUC